AACGAACGCUGGCGGCAUGCCUAACACAUGCAAGUCGAACGAGACCUUCGGGUCUAGUGGCGAACGGGUGCGUAACGCGUGGGAACCUGCCCUUAGGUUCGGAAUAACUCCCCGAAAGGGGUGCUAAUACCGGAUAAUGUCUUCGGACCAAAGAUUUAUCGCCUUUGGAUGGGCCCGCGUUGGAUUAGCUAGUUGGUAGGGUAAAAGCCUACCAAGGCGACGAUCCAUAGCUGGUCUGAGAGGAUGAUCAGCCACACUGGGACCGAGACACGGCCCAGACUCCUACGGGAGGCAGCAGUGGGGAAUAUUGGACAAUGGGCGAAAGCCUGAUCCAGCAAUGCCGCGUGAGUGAUGAAGGCCUUAGGGUUGUAAAGCUCUUUUACCCGGGAUGAUAAUGACAGUACCGGGAGAAUAAGCUCCGGCUAACUCCGUG
rnacentral:rRNA from 1 species